UGCAAGUCGAGCGAGCCCUUACGGGCGAGCGGCGGACGGGUGAGUAACACGUGGGCAAUCUGCCUUUCAGACUGGAAUAACACUCGGAAACGGGUGCUAAUGCCGGAUAAUACACGGGUAGGCAUCUAGGUGUGUUGAAGAUGCAACAGCAUCGCUGAGAGAGGAGCCCGCGGCGCAUUAGCUAGUUGGUGAGGUAACGGCUCACCAAGGCGACGAUGCGUAGCCGACCUGAGAGGGUGACCGGCCACACUGGGACUGAGACACGGCCCAGACUCCUACGGGAGGCAGCAGUAGGGAAUCU
rnacentral:rRNA from 1 species